CGGCGGAACUGCUGGCGCCCUAUAUCGGCGACAUCGCGGCUGAAGGUAUAAGCAAAACGCUGCGCACGGGUUCCGCUUUCCUGCGUAAAGGUCUGCUCCGUCAACAGCGCUACGCUGCCGAGGUGCUGACCGAAGAGUGGCGUAUGGCGCCGGGGCCUUUAGAAGUCGCCUGGUUUGCAGAAGAGACCGCGGCAGUUGAGCGCGCAGUUGAUGCGUUAACCAAACGGCUGGAAAAACUGGAGGGCAAAUGA
rnacentral:sRNA from 1 species